rnacentral:rRNA from 1 species
AUACAUGCAAGUCGAACGAACUCUGGUAUUGAUUGGUGCUUGCAUCAUGAUUUACAUUUGAGUGAGUGGCGAACUGGUGAGUAACACGUGGGAAACCUGCCCAGAAGNGGGGGAUAACACCUGGAAACAGAUGCUAAUACCGCAUAACAACUUGGACCGCAUGGUCCNAGUUUGAAAGAUGGCUUCGGCUAUCACUUUUGGAUGGUCCCGCGGCGUAUUAGCUAGAUGGUGNGGUAACGGCUCACCAUGGCAAUGAUACGUAGCCGACCUGAGAGGGUAAUCGGCCACAUUGGGACUGAGACACGGCCCAAACUCCUACGGGAGGCAGCAGUAGGGAAUCUUCCACAAUGGACGAAAGUCUGAUGGAGCAACGCCGCGUGAGUGAAGAAGGGUUUCGGCUCGUAAAACUCUGUUGUUAAAGAAGAACAUAUCUGAGAGUAACUGNUCAGGUAUUGACGGUAUUUAACCAGAAAGCCACGGCUAACUACGUGCCAGCAGCCGCGGUAAUACGUAGGUGGCAAGCGUUGUCCGGAUUUAUUGGGCGUAAAGCGAGCGCAGGCGGUUUUUUAAGUCUGAUGUGAAAGCCUUCGGCUCAACCGAAGAAGUGCAUCGGAAACUGGGAAACUUGAGUGCAGAAGAGGACAGUGGAACUCCAUGUGUAGCGGUGAAAUGCGUAGAUAUAUGGAAGAACACCAGUGGCGAAGGCGGCUGUCUGGUCUGUAACUGACGCUGAGGCUCGAAAGUAUGGGUAGCAAACAGGAUUAGAUACCCUGGUAGUCCAUACCGUAAACGAUGAAUGCUAAGUGUUGGAGGGUUUCCGCCCUUCAGUGCUGCAGCUAACGCAUUAAGCAUUCCGCCUGGGGAGUACGGCCGCAAGGCUGAAACUCAAAGGAAUUGACGGGGGCCCGCACAAGCGGUGGAGCAUGUGGUUUAAUUCGAAGCUACGCGAAGAACCUUACCAGGUCUUGACAUACUAUGCAAAUCUAAGAGAUUAGACGUUCCCUUCGGGGACAUGGAUACAGGUGGUGCAUGGUUGUCGUCAGCUCGUGUCGUGAGAUGUUGGGUUAAGUCCCGCAACGAGCGCAACCCUUAUUAUCAGUUGCCAGCAUUAAGUUGGGCACUCUGGUGAGACUGCCGGUGACAAACCGGAGGAAGGUGGGGAUGACGUCAAAUCAUCAUGCCCCUUAUGACCUGGGCUACACACGUGCUACAAUGGAUGGUACAACGAGUUGCGAACUCGCGAGAGUAAGCUAAUCUCUUAAAGCCAUUCUCAGUUCGGAUUGUAGGCUGCAACUCGCCUACAUGAAGUCGGAAUCGCUAGUAAUCGCGGAUCAGCAUGCCGCGGUGAAUACGUUCCCGGGCCUUGUACACACCGCCCGUCACACCAUGAGAGUUUGUAACACCCAAAGUCGGUGGGGUAACCUUUUAGGAACCAGCCGCCUAAG